ACCAAAUAGAUACCCGGGUAGUCCACGCCCUAAACGAUGCGAACUGGAUGUUGGGUACAUUACGGUACUCAGUGUCGAAAGACUAAACGCGUUAAGUUCGCCGCCUGGGGAGUACGGUCGCAAGACUGAAACUCAAAGGAAUUGACGGGGGCCCGGCACAAGCGGUGGAGUAUGUGGUUUAAUUACGAUGCAACGACGAAGAAACCUUACCUUGGCCUUGACAUCUGUCGAAUCCUGCAGAGAUGCGGGAGUGCCGCAAGGAACGACAAGACAGGUGCUGCAUGGCUGUCGUCAGCUCGUGUCGUGAGAUGUUGGGUUAAGUCCCGCAACGAGCGCAACCCUUGUCCCUAGUUGCCAGCACGUAAUGGUGGGAACUCUAGGGAGACUGCCGGUGACAAACCGGAGGAAGGUGGGGUAUGACGUCAAGUCCUCAU
rnacentral:rRNA from 1 species